UGGGGAAUUGUUCACAAUGGGCGAAAGCCUGAUGACGCAACGCCGCGUGGAGGAUGAAGGUCUUCGGAUUGUAAACUCCUGUUGCCCGGGACGAAAAGCUCUGACCUAACACGUCAGAGUCUGACGGUACCGGGUGAGGAAGCCCCGGCUAACUCUGUGCCAGCAGCCGCGGUAAUACAGAGGGGGCAAGCGUUGUUCGGAAUUACUGGGCGUAAAGGGCGCGUAGGCGGCCUUCUAAGUCAGACGUGAAAUCCCCGGGCUCAACCCGGGAACUGCGUCUGAUACUGGAGGGCUUGAAUCCGGGAGAGGGAUGUGGAAUUCCAGGUGUAGCGGUGAAAUGCGUAGAUAUCUGGAGGAACACCGGUGGCGAAGGCGGCAUCCUGGACCGGUAUUGACGCUGAGGCGCGAAAGCCAGGGGAGCAAACGGGAUUAGAUACCCGAUGUAGUCCCUGAGCGGGCUGGCAAGGCGCAU
rnacentral:rRNA from 1 species